GCGCGAGGAAUGGCGAGUGUAAGAUACCGCUCGGGCAGGAGGGGGGUGGCGAGAUCCACCUCCCCGGGAAAUAAUGGGGAUGAUAAUAAAACAGGAGGAAAACCCGUGUGAGGGAACCUGAAUGGAUGGAGCCAGAGAGACGUCACGACCAGCCGCAGCCAUGAAGACUGUGCGGUCCAGCCUCCGACAGCUCACUUGGUCUCCAUCUCCCGAGCCGCUCGCUUCGAGGUUUUGGUGAGCGGACGCCGCAGCAACUCGCAGGCGACGGCGUCAGAGCUUGCGGCUCUGCGGCUCGAGAGGAUGGGUAGCCUUAGGGGUUGGUUGUUAUCUUUGGUUAUCUAGCUGUAUGAGUGAUGUACAUUCUUCAUAAAGCUAGAUAACCGAAAGUAACAAGAAUCCCAUUACACUCCUGAAAAGGCAUCAAGACCCCAAAUACGUCUCCCUCCCGAAACUACUGCUGCAAGAACAUGAGGGAAGAAAAUGGAUGGCAUAUAAAAAAGAUGUGGAAGUAGAAUGCAACAGAAGGCUAUCACCACGACACCACUGAAGGAAAGCUGGCAAAAGGAGGCUGAAAAACAGAGACGGAGGAGGAGGGGUUGCUGUUGAUUCUGCCUUCCCUUUCUCUUCUCCUUCCUCUGCAUUGCCUCUUCCCACCUCCUCCUCCCUUCCUCGUUCGCUCCAUCCUCAGCAGAUUGCCCAUUUUUCCUGUACAGCGAAACGCAGCCCGCGCCACCAUCUUAGAGCAACGCUGGCAUGAAAUGGAAGUGGGAAGACCAGUCAGUGCAGGUGAAUGGACUCAGUGCAUGGGGAUCUGAAACAAACAGAGAGCACAAGUCAGUGAAAGUGGGACUCCUUCAGCCUAGAGUCAAUAAGGAUGACGAUGCUGCUGUCUGCACAUGCACAACUCCGUGGUGAUUCCUGCCAUGACUCUGGAACACGGCUGCACUGUUUGUACCUCUUCAUGCUGCUGCAUGACGUAUUGUUUGACCCCACAGUCAAGAUGAACUUGUGAACACUUGUGUUUAAUCUGAGAAAACCUCAUGUUGGACUAUGGGAAACGAGGCUGGGACAGAAGAUCAGCAGCUUGAGGUGUGAACAAGCUGGUCUGUGUGUAUUUGGGGGUGUGCCACCAAAUUUUAGCUAUUAUUCUCACUGUAGGUCAUAUUUGAUGACUUGAGCUGUAGCCCACACUGUGUUUAAUUUCUGUUAUGUUGUAGUUGCUAGGACUCAAAGACACAUGAAUGUGAGACCCACGGCAGCAGUGAAUAAUAGUACUGCACUGCGAUUGGACAGCUCCAUGUGUCAGCUGACACAAUGGCGAAGGAGUGAGCUGUUGUCUUUAUACUCUAUGCAACUGUGUUUUCUUUUUUUUUUAAAUCUUGAAUUCCAGAUGAGUCAAGCUCCAUUCCUCCCUGCUCUUGAUUUUUUUUUGGGGGGGGGGCUACCAAUUUAUAGACAUAUCUUCAGACAUCAUCUAGAGAAAUGGUUUUUGAGGAGUCUAUGUUAGUAUACUGAUUCAGAAAUUCCAGUGAGUGUGUGACAGAUGACAGAAUACAGCUCAGUUUCAUGAGCAGAUGUAGUGAAUCUCAUAUUUGCAGCCUUAACAGACUUUGAUUUGACUGUGCAGCCACAGUCUGAGUAAAUGUGGACUCACACAUUUAAUAUUCCUGAUGUA